AGAGGUGGCAAGCGUUGUUCGGAUUUAUUGGGUGUAAAGGGCAGGUAGGCGGUCGGAUAAGUCUGACGUGAAAUCCCAUGGCUCAACCGUGGAACUGCGUUGGAAACUGUCUGACUUGAGUACCGGAGAGGUGAGGGGAAUUCUCGGUGUAAGGGUGAAAUCUGUAGAUAUCGAGAGGAACACCAGUGGCGAAGGCGACUCGCUGGACUGAUACUGACGCUGAGGUGCGAAAGCGUGGGAAGCAAACAGGAUUAGAUACCCUGGUAGUCCACGCCUUAAACGAUGAGAGCUAGUUGUCGGGGAAGCAAUUCUUAGGUAACGAAGCUAACGCGUGAAGUUGACCGCCUGGGGAGUACGGUCGCAAGAUUA
rnacentral:rRNA from 1 species